ensembl:lncRNA
CUGGCAGAUCAGAGCUGGGUGAAGGAUUACCGUUCAUAUAAAUAGCUGGCAUUGAUUCUGCAAAAAGAGAGACUUCUCUGUCAUUAUGGAGACAGAAAAUCCUAAUUUAGAAAUGUGAACAAAAACGCUGAGCGUUCAAUUCAAUUCAGUAAUCCUCCAUAUUGCAUGAAAUCAGAGGUGUCGUGUUACAAUGCGCAGUUUAAGUCAGUGUGGAGAUUUAGACAAAAGGUAGCGCCUGGAGCUAUAUCAUGAUGUACUGAGCUAGAAAAUGUGUUCUUAGUCAGUGUUUCAUUUCAUCUCAUUCAAUUUUUUUUUUUCUUCAUUUUUGGAAGUACCCUCUCUGUUACCUUUUUAUUGCGGUAUAUGUACAGAUCUCAUUUAAAUGUAUUCGGUUAAGGCCUUUAAUAUUGAAUCAGAGACACAGAACCAUGGAUAGGCCCUCGUUAAUUAACGUAUUUUCCUUUUCUGUCUCGCUCACUGUUUUUUUCUCAUUGUGUCUUUCAGGCGUGCCUAAUCGUACAUGACUUUGAGGAGACGACGUGCGCUACCAUCCCAGCACGUCGUAUUUGAAUAUGGACAAAAAAACAGAUCAGACAUUAGCAACUGCUAUUGAUCCUCAAAUAGGGGCCGAGCUGUCUGUUUUGAACGCCGCUGCCCGGUCGAUCCCAUCUGACCUACUGUUCACAAGAAGCAGCACGAGUGUUAUCCCUGUCUUCACCUCAGCAGCCACGUCCUCUUGGGUCCUACACAAGCCCCCUGCACAAUUACAGGACAGCCCUAAUUCCUUAUCAUAAAAAUCCAAUGGUGUAAUGUUGGAGGAAUUGCUGUGUUGAGGCUAAACAAUAGGUCUCACACACUACGCUUUGUGUCAUUAAACUCAGCAUGCAAGCUUUGAAGUGUCCCUUAAUUCGGCCAUGCUGCGCCUCUUCCACAUGAAGAUAUUGCAACAAUAUGAAGAAAACCAAAUGAGAGAGUCAGAGAGACAAAUAGAGAUGUAGCCAUCACCUUCACUGUGAACCGCUUUUAUUUUCAGUGCUGUUAGGUGUACUACAGAGAUUACUUAGACCCAUUACCACAGUUAUGGUUAGGCGGAGCACCAGAGCAAUAGAGAAACAGUGUUCUCCUGGUACUUCAUAGGCAAGUCAGACGUCUGGCUUCGAACCUAUGCAGUAUUCCCACAAGGGCUCUAGUGUUCACAUUUACCACAAAUGCAAUACACACUUGAAAAGUUUGCAUCACCAGACAGCCGCUGCUGAGGACGUACGCUUAAUUUCAAUCACAUCAUUUGAGUGGGAGGGAAGAAAUCAGUUAGUGGAGAGGAAACAUUAUUUGAGAUAAGAUCAUUUGAGAGGAUUUUUUUUGCUACAUGCUUUGAUGUUGAAGAGAAUUAAAGGGAUAGUUCACCCAAAAAUAUAUUUUUUAUACUAUUUUUAUUAUUAUUACUAUUAUUUUAUUCACCCACAUGUCCUUCGAAGCAUAUGAAUUAUUCACUGUUGGCCUUUAAAAAAAAAUCUUGAACAUUCUGCUAAAUAUCUU